UCAAAAAGCUAACAAAGACCAGUGAAAGAAACACAGUUUGGCCAUGAAGUCAGAGCCAUCUCUGCCCCUGAACUGCUAUAUUGGCCAAUCCCUGGGCAGGGGAAAAAUUAACCAAUCCCCUUUCUCCCUGGGAAAACUCCGCCCCUAAGAAGCCCUAUAUAAGCCUCUCCACUGCUUCAGUUGAGAGCUGCCGUUAAUCCCUCCCUGGAAGAGGAUCAGCAUUCCUGAACUCCUCCAUCCCAAAUGAAUCUCUUUCUCAAAAGAGUCUUGGGUGAAAACCUUCAUUCACCAGCACGCAGCAGAAGAACCUGGCUGGGAAGUCCUUUAGGGGACUGAGCUGAAAUGCCUUGCUGAGACGCUCCACAGGGGGCCUCAGCAAGGCAGAGCAGAGCCGAAGAAACUUGCUAGGAUUCUCCUUAAAGGGGGCUGAGCAAGGCCAGCUGAGGAAAAGUAACAACUUUUUGUUGGAGCAGGAGGAGAUUGCUACAUUUCUGCAGGGGGCUUCCCUUUCGCAGAGUGCUAGCAGAAGAAACAUCUUGGGACAGAGAAGAGGCAUAUAGCUCUGCUAGGACGCUCUAGUAAGGGAGCAGAGCAGAACUCAGCUGUAGCUGCUCUCCAGGAGAGGAGCAGGAUUCCUAUAUCCUGCAGGAAGACCAUCCCCCACUGCACCCCAGCUUCAGGUCUUCUUCCUUUGGAGUGAGGAGGCAGAGAAUCAACAGCAACACAGAUGACGGAUUUGCUUCCUCACCCUUUUCCAGUGCCUUCUCUGCUUCUUGGAGAAUAUGGCUGCCUGUAGGGACUGGUCCUCGCCAGUCUACCGAUGGCAACUCUUCAAAGGAGUCUGCUGAUGUGUCAAGGAGCUUCUUCUGCUCCUCUGGGAUGUCAUUCAUGGCAUCUUCAGACAUCUGAUCUGCAGAGAGUGUGUCCUGUGAGAAACUGAAUCUUCUAACUCUGGAUAUUGGCCAGGAUCAUCAAGAGGUCUCUGCUCUUCUGGGAUGUCAAUAAUGAUGUCUUCACACAGCUUUGAUACUGUAGCCGCAUACUGGGCAGUAAUCAUGUCCAAAGACCUGAUACUGACCCUGGGGUGAGAAUGUCUUUGAACCUGAAGAAUGCAUCACCUGCAUCGCGUGGUGAUGAGGAAAGCAGACUUUGUGUAUUCAGUAUGCUCUGGGUCUUCGGGUACAAAGCUUGGCAUAUUGGUAGUCGCCAUGGUAGCAAGGCAGAGAUAGGAUUCCUGGGGCUCUCUGGUCAGCCAACCAUCUGUGAGCCCCAGG